rnacentral:rRNA from 1 species
AAAACUUUACAAUGCGGGAAACCGCGAUAAGGGGACACUGAGUGCCAGCAUAUUAUGUUGGCUGUCCACAUGUAUAAAAACCAUGUGUUAGCAAGGGCCGGGCAAGACCGGUGCCAGCCGCCGCGGUAACACCGGCGGCCCGAGUGGUGAUCACUUUUAUUGGGUCUAAAGGGUCCGUAGCCGGUUUGAUCAGUCCUCUGGGAAAUCUGACAGCUCAACUGUUAGGCUUCCAGGGGAUACUGUCAGACUUGGGACCGGGAGAGGUAAGAGGUACUACAGGGGUAGGAGUGAAAUCUUGUAAUCCCUGUGGGACCACCAGUGGCGAAGGCGUCUCACCAGAACGGGUCCGACGGUGAGGGACGAAAGCUGGGGGCACGAACCGGAUUAGAUACCCGGGUAGUCCCAGCCGUAAACGAUGCUCGCUAGGUGUCAGGGACGGUGCGACCGUUUCUGGUGCCGCAGGGAAGCCGUGAAGCGAGCCACCUGGAAGUACGCCGCAAGGC